rnacentral:rRNA from 1 species
UACGUAGGGGGCAAGCGUUGUCCGGAUUUAUUGGGCGUAAAGAGCGUGUAGGCGGCUAGAUAGGUCCGUUGUGAAAACUCGAGGCUCAACCUCGAGACGUCGAUGGAAACCAUCUGGCUAGAGUCCGGAAGAGGAGAGUGGAAUUCCUGGUGUAGCGGUGAAAUGCGCAGAUAUCAGGAAGAACACCCGUGGCGAAGGCGGCUCUCUGGUACGUGACUGACGCUGAGACGCGAAAGCGUGGGGAACAAACAGG